AUUAUUUUGGCAGAUUAGUGCGGUGAAUUUAGAAUUCAUAUAUGUAAAUUUUUAC
rnacentral:tRNA from 1 species